GUGCAUAUGAUGGAAAAAAGUUAAUAUCCUGAGAUUUGUGAUGUCUCCAAAGGAACCACUGAUGCAC